GGCAGGAUGUCUGAACCAAUUUCUCCCCUUGCUCAUAAUUCUUUCCAUAUUUAGACAGCGUGGUACUAGGUUCAUGUUGAUGGUUUUUUAAAUGCUUGGUGAACGAUAAUUUCUUACUUUCUGUCUCCAAAAUGAGUGGGAAGGAAGGGGGAGGUCAUUUACUAGUAAGUAUGGGAAUGGCCUGCUCUUCCAGAGAGAAGCAGGAGAAAACACCCUCAGCGCUAUUGGUUGUCACGCUUGGACAGAGUAGAGGGGGCCAGGGUGAAAUCCUCCUUUAAUUUAUAAUGUGGCAAUUCUGUUACAUCGAUAGUUUAUUUUUUGCAUUCUUUAAAGAUGAUAAUACUAUUGCUGAGAAUUAAAUCUUUAAUAUCAAAAAAUUCUGUUUCAAAUGAUGGCAGGAGAUGAUCUUGCAUCAUCUUUAAUAGAACUGUGUCACGUAGCGCUCCUGGCAGUAAGGGACUGGCGGGCAUUCUGAAAAACCCUUCGGCACAAACAGCAGGAACGCUGGUAUGACACCACACAUUUCUUCACAUGCACAGUUGAGCUCACAAGGGCCAGAAACGAGGGAGCCAGGACCCCUCAGCUUGUACAGCCCAGGGGUGGUACAGUCACACUAUGGGCCCACGCAGACAGGGCAUUGAAACGGGGGUCCUCGUGGGUUAUGGAAAAGGUAUCUGUCUGCAUCCAGAUGGGGUCCCAGGAGAAUUCAAUAAAAAUCCUGGGCUUUGUGACCACGAACCUGCCCUCUGUGUCACAGCGAUGGAGAGUUUGUAUCUCCGCUGGCUGCAUGACCUGUGCUGAGGGUGAGGUGCUCUGCAUGUCUGCAGGAGUAAACUGGCUUCCAGUCUGGGCUUGUGCCCAACUUACCUGUCAGGCUUAGUGAUUCAUGGGUGCUGGCUGAGGUGAGAUUCCUGGUCAGAGACAGGACUUGUUCUUCAUGGCACAGCAAAGCAGCAUGAGCUUUGUGUUGGCCUCAGUUUCCCAGCCCCACAGGAGUGACACGAGGGGCCCAGGCAGAUGCCAUGCAAGGAGGCAGCACACACUGAGAUUUUUAUAGCAAGUGGUAAACAAGCCUGCACUUGGACCACUGCAGAUACAACCCUAGAAGUGGGCCAAGUAGAGAGCACUCAAGAACCACAUCUUGACAAGCCCCCCGAGAACAUGCAGGGGUGCCCAUACCCAUGGCAGAGAGCCCCUGCAGGUACACCCAGGGCUCACACGAGCUCACCUGCGAAAACUACCAUGCCACCGGGAAUCAGCAGAGACAACAGAACUUCGCCUCUGAGAAUUCAGAUACUGAAAUCAUACAUUACAGAAUAUAAAAUAAGAAUGCCAGAAACACAGGUUAAAGGAACCAAACCUGAACAGGCACAAGACAAAAGUGGCCUAGGAGAUAUGGACAAGAAUCAAUCAGAGCUUCUAGAAAUAAUGAGUGCAGUGGUUGGAAGUUGCUGCAUGAAGUAAAACCACGUGUGCCCCACAGAUGGUCUCAGGAAGGCGCUGAGCACAGACAGGAAGCUGCACGGAUACGCAUGGUUUGAUGGACGUGUGAUUUUUAGGAUUGCAGGACAGUGUUUGUCUAAGAACAUGUAACUCUUCAGAAUAUAGACAUGUGCAGUGUGGUGCACCCUGACCUUGAGUGCUUGUGCCGCAGGGGACACAGCAGGAUUUAACUGUCAGCGGUGGCUUGUGGGUACACACAUAUUCUUGUAUAUUUAUGCUUUUUGGUAUAUCUGAAUGCAUGCAAAAUUCAUUUAAAUCGCCUGUCCCCAGGAACUUGCAAAAGCUUUCCAGUAAUGUUUACUUGUUCUUUCAUUCUUGUGAACACUCCCCUGCCUUUUUGCGUGGAAGCUUCUGUUGAGGGUAGGGUGAAGGGGAGGAGGGCCCAGGCCUUGCAGCUGAGCAGCCCUGCCACAUGCUCUAGCUUGUCUAAAGAACGGACAGCCGCUGCUGGGAGUCCACUUACCCCACAUCUGGCAGUGUUCCCACAGUCAAAAUAAGUACAGCUAGCUGGGAGUAAUUUUUCUCCUGAGUUUAUCUUUUAUUCUGGUGUGAAGUUCUAGACAAGGUUAAUCAGACACUCAAGUAUUUGCCUACAGCUGGGAUCAGCCUUGAACCAUGUAAAUGAAGCACCAGGCUUCCCCUUCAGGGUGCCUGAAAGAUCCGUAGCUCCUCAUGCAGUGAGGAGACAGGAGGACAUGGGUGUUGGACUGCAGAAAUGGCCAGGAUUCUGGUCGUGUCCUGCUGGGAGAAAUCAGCGGCGCUGUCUGAACACAUCUCAUCCAGAACUGGACACCUUCUGAAGCCAGGGCUGAAGUCAUGGCAACUGUCACUGUCGUUCCGCCAUUUUUCUCGAAAAAGACGAAGUUUUAACCAAUAUAAUAAAUAUGUAUUAUGAUGAUGAUUUACUGAAAGCUAUUAGAAUUAAUCCUGAAGAAAUAGUAUUACAACAUCUGGAAUUGAUUGUGAAUGAGGUUCUAAAUCUCUCCCACUCUCCUCCCAAUGACUUUCCCUUGUAAAAAAAUAUUUUUGAAAUUAAUGAAUUAAAAACACAUUCUUUGAUCAACUGUGAAUGAAGCUACUGUGCCAAGUCAGACAAAUGUCUAUUGAAUAUGAACAUGGAUUAUCAACUUCGAAUCACUGAUACAAUACAGAAGUUAAGCCUUGGAAAUAAAUUACACUGUUAUUCAUCACCAGGACAGAUGAUAUGUAGUAGGGUUCUUUUUACCGUUUUUAAAAAUGUAUUAAUGUAAUAAAAAAUAUGAGUCCAUUA